rnacentral:rRNA from 1 species
GUGGGGAAUCUUCCGCAAUGGACGAAAGUCUGACGGAGCGACGCCGCGUGAGUGAAGAAGGCCUUCGGGUCGUAAAGCUCUGUCAUCAGGGACGAACGGCCGGUGGAGUGGAAAGCCACCGGAUUGACGGUACCUGAGAAGGAAGCCACGGCUAACUACGUGCCAGCAGCCGCGGUAAUACGUAGGUGGCAAGCGUUGUCCGGAAUUAUUGGGCGUAAAGCGCGCGCAGGUGGGAUCUUAAGUCCAUUUUUAAAGUUCGGAGCUCAACUCCGUGAUGGGAUGGAAACUGGGAUUCUUGAGUACCGGAGAGGAAAGCGGAAUUCCCCGUGUAGCGGUGAAAUGCGUAGAUAUGGGGAGGAACACCAGUGGCGAAGGCGGCUUUCUGGACGAAAACUGACGCUGAGGCGCGAAAGCCAGGGGAGCGAACGGGAUUAGAAACCCUAGUAGUCC